rnacentral:rRNA from 1 species
UACGUAGGGACCGAGCGUUGUCCGGAAUCAUUGGGCGUAAAGAGCUCGUAGGCGGUUUGUCGCGUCGGCGGUGAAAACCUGGGGCUCAACCCCGGGCCUGCAGCCGAUACGGGCAAACUAGAAUUCGGUAGGGGAGACUGGAAUUCCUGGUGUAGCGGUGAAAUGCGCAGAUAUCAGGAGGAACACCGGUGGCGAAGGCGGGUCUCUGGGCCGAUAUUGACGCUGAGGAGCGAAAGCGUGGGGAGCGAACAGG